GGCAAGAUGGCCGAGCGGUCCAAGGCGUGUGACUCAAGCGGAAAGGGCGUAAAAGCCCAACGUUUGCCUGAUGUUUCGGGUUUCUCAUCAGGGUAAUCCUGGCGUGGGUUCGAAUCCCACUCUUGUCA